rnacentral:rRNA from 1 species
AUUGAACGCUUGCGGCAGGCUUAACACAUGCAAGUCGAACGAGUGGCGGACGGGUGAGUAAUGUCUGGGAAACUGCCCGAUGGAGGGGGAUAACUACUGGAAACGGUAGCUAAUACCGCAUACCAUCGGAUGUGCCCAGAUGGGAUUAGCUAGUUGGUGGGGUAAUGGCUCACCUAGGCGACGAUCCAUAGCGGGUUUGAGAGGAUGACAAGCCACAAGGGAAGUGAGUCACGUGCUAGACUCCUACGGGAGGCAGCAGGGGGUAAUGUUGCACAGUGGGCGCAAGCCUGAUUCAGCCAUGUCGCUGGUAUGAAGAAGGGCUUCGGGUUGUAAAGUGCUUUCAACGAGGUGGCGUUACUCGCAGAAGAAGCACAUGCUUACUCCGUGCCAGCAGCCGCGGUAAUAC